AUUCCAGCUCCAAUAGCGUAUAUUAAAGUUGUUGCAGUUAAAAAGCUCGUAGUUGGAUUUCUGGCCGGGGCGACCGGUCGGCGCCCUAGCGGCGUGUGCACUGUCGUCGGCCCUGGCCAUCUGCGUUCGGAGGGUCGCUGGCAUUAAGUUGUCGGCGGCUUGACGGGCGCCGUUUACUGUGAAAAAAUUAGAGUGUUUAAAGCAGGCGAUCGCUGUGAAUACAUUAGCAUGGAAUAAUGGAAAAGGACUUCAACCUUUUCUGUUGGUCUGAGAGGCUGUAGUAAUGAUUAAUAGGGAUAGUUGGGGGCAUUAGUACUUAACUGUCAGAGGUGAAAUUCUCCGAUUUGUUAAAGACUAACUUAUGCGAAAGCAUUUGCCAAGGAUGUUUUCAUCA
rnacentral:rRNA from 1 species